CCUACGGGAGGCAGCAGUGAGGAAUAUUGGUCAAUGGCCGGAAGGCUGAACCAGCCAUGCCGCGUGAAGGUCAGUGCCCUAUGGGCGUUAAACUUCUUUUGUGCGGGAGCAAUAAUGGUCACGUGUGGCCAGACGAGAGUACCGUACGAAUAAGCAGCGGCUAACGCCGUGCCAGCAGCCGCGGUAAUACGGGGGAUGCAAGCGUUAUCCGGAUUUAUGGGGUUUAAAGGGUGCGUAGGCUGUGAGGUAAGUCAGCGGUGAAAUGCCCCCGGUCAAGGGGGUGAAGUGCCAUUGAUAAUGCCUUGCUGGAAUGCGGAUGAGGUAGGAGGAAUGUGUGGUGUAGCGGUGAAAUGCAUAGAUAUCACACAGAACACCGAUUGCGAAGGCAUCUCACGAAUCCGCGAUUGACGCUGAUGCACGAAAGCGUGGGUAUCAAACAGGAUUAGAUACCCUAGUAGUC
rnacentral:rRNA from 1 species